AUGAACGCUAGCUACAGGCUUAACACAUGCAAGUCGAGGGGCAUCAGGAAGAAAGCUUGCUUUCUUUGCUGGCGACCGGCGCACGGGUGAGUAACACGUAUCCAACCUGCCCUUUACUCGGGGAUAGCCUUUCGAAAGAAAGAUUAAUACCCGAUAGCAUAAUGAUUCCGCAUGGUUUCAUUAUUAAAGGAUUCCGGUAAAGGAUGGGGAUGCGUUCCAUUAGGUUGUUGGUGAGGUAACGGCUCACCAAGCCUUCGAUGGAUAGGGGUUCUGAGAGGAAGGUCCCCCACAUUGGAACUGAGACACGGUCCAAACUCCUACGGGAGGCAGCAGUGAGGAAUAUUGGUCAAUGGGCGCUAGCCUGAACCAGCCAAGUAGCGUGAAGGAUGAAGGCUCUAUGGGUCGUAAACUUCUUUUAUAUAAGAAUAAAGUGCAGUAUGUAUACUGUUUUGUAUGUAUUAUAUGAAUAAGGAUCGGCUAACUCCGUGCCAGCAGCCGCGGUAAUACGGAGGAUCCGAGCGUUAUCCGGAUUUAUUGGGUUUAAAGGGAGCGUAGGUGGACUGGUAAGUCAGUUGUGAAAGUUUGCGGCUCAACCGUAAAAUUGCAGUUGAUACUGUCAGUCUUGAGUACAGUAGAGGUGGGCGGAAUUCGUGGUGUAGCGGUGAAAUGCUUAGAUAUCACGAAGAACUCCGAUUGCGAAGGCAGCUCACUGGACUGCAACUGACACUGAUGCUCGAAAGUGUGGGUAUCAAACAGGAUUAGAUACCCUGGUAGUCCACACAGUAAACGAUGAAUACUCGCUGUUUGCGAUAUACAGUAAGCGGCCAAGCGAAAGCAUUAAGUAUUCCACCUGGGGAGUACGCCGGCAACGGUGAAACUCAAAGGAAUUGACGGGGGCCCGCACAAGCGGAGGAACAUGUGGUUUAAUUCGAUGAUACGCGAGGAACCUUACCCGGGCUUAAAUUGCAGUGGAAUGAUGUGGAAACAUGUCAGUGAGCAAUCACCGCUGUGAAGGUGCUGCAUGGUUGUCGUCAGCUCGUGCCGUGAGGUGUCGGCUUAAGUGCCAUAACGAGCGCAACCCUUAUCUUUAGUUACUAACAGGUUAUGCUGAGGACUCUAGAGAGACUGCCGUCGUAAGAUGUGAGGAAGGUGGGGAUGACGUCAAAUCAGCACGGCCCUUACGUCCGGGGCUACACACGUGUUACAAUGGGGGGUACAGAAGGCAGCUAGCGGGUGACCGUAUGCUAAUCCCAAAAUCCUCUCUCAGUUCGGAUCGAAGUCUGCAACCCGACUUCGUGAAGCUGGAUUCGCUAGUAAUCGCGCAUCAGCCACGGCGCGGUGAAUACGUUCCCGGGCCUUGUACACACCGCCCGUCAAGCCAUGGGAGCCGGGGGUACCUGAAGUACGUAACCGCAAGGAUCGUCCUAGGGUAAAAC
rnacentral:rRNA from 1 species